CCUACGGGCGGCUGCAGUGGGGAAUAUUGCACAAUGGGCGCAAGCCUGAUGCAGCCAUGCCGCGUGUGUGAAGAAGGCCUUCGGGUUGUAAAGCACUUUCAGCGGGGAGGAAGGCGGUGAGGUUAAUAACCUCAUCGAUUGACGUUACCCGCAGAAGAAGCACCGGCUAACUCCGUGCCAGCAGCCGCGGUAAUACGGAGGGGGCAAGCGUUAAUCGGAAUUACUGGGCGUAAAGCGCACGCAGGCGGUCUGUCAAGUCGGAUGUGAAAUCCCCGGGCUCAACCUGGGAACUGCAUUCGAAACUGGCAGGCUAGAGUCUUGUAGAGGGGGGUAGAAUUCCAGGUGUAGCGGUGAAAUGCGUAGAGAUCUGGAGGAAUACCGGUGGCGAAGGCGGCCCCCUGGACAAAGACUGACGCUCAGGUGCGAAAGCGUGGGGAGCAAACAGGAUUAGAUACCCGAGUAGUC
rnacentral:rRNA from 1 species